UCUGGGCCUGACUCUCUUCCCUUAGCAUAAUGUCCUCCUGUUCCAGCUGUAUGGCCGCAAAUGACAGGAUGUUAGAAAUCUACAAUUUUCAAAAGUUCCCAGGACAGCAAAUAGAGCAGCCACUGCCGGUUACAAUUUAUUUCGCCUCUCAGAGCCUCAGUUUCCUUAGCUGCAAGAUGGGAUAUGGUGGUGCAAGCCUGUAACCCCAGCACUUGACAGGCUGAGGCAAUAUGAUUGCCAGAAGUACAAGGUUGGAUUGGGAACUUACCUCUGAAAUGACCUCAUGUUAACCUAAAUAAUGACAUAGAUCUUGUUAUCUGGGAAGGCAUUUGACCUCUGGAGCAAACAAUAUGUUGUAUAGGAAUCUGAAAAUAAAAUAUCAUGCAAGAAGGUGACUAGGGAUGAGGCCUGGCCAGAAAGUGUGGGCUGUUGAAAGGAUUGGAAGAAUCACUCUGCAGGCAUUAAAAGACAAGAAGGAAUUGGAAGUUGCUGCUCAUCUUGUGAUCACCACACUCACACAGUUCUGACCUGGGCUCCUUGGUUCUUGGGUAGACUCAUCUUUCAUCAUGUUGUCGAGGCUAUUCUGUCAGCUCACUUUGGAGUGGGAGAAAACACGCUUGUCAGUGUUCUCCCUUCCUCAGGAUGAUGCUGUUUCUGUCCUGGAUACCAGAGGAAGAAAAUCAGACCUCUGCCUCAUGCAUCUUCCUUGCCCUUCUGUGCAUCAUAAACGCGACACUGCACAAGGAGGGUGGAUCUGCUACCCAGGACAGCUGAUAAGUGACUCCUGGGUGGGUAGCAUAGUCAGUGUGGGAUGCUGGACUUAAGGACGUUUGGCGUUCAGUGGGAUGAUGCAGGAUUUCAGACUGCCGUUGGCUCCAGGUAACCAGAACAAAGGAGAAUGAAGCCAGGAGUAAGGGGCGUGGUGCCUCCAAGAUUGAUUGGUUACUUUUCUGCUUCUGUGACAAAAACGCCAUGAGCAAGGAGGUUUCCAUCAAGUGACAGCUGCCUUCCACGACCUGCCCUGUGCUAUUCUCCUGUCGGGGCUCCCCACAGGAACUGAAACACCAGCUGUAGAUUGGGGUGAAGAAGCAGGAGAUGAAAUAAAAUGAUACCCAGAUGUGCUGGCCUUUGGCAAAGAUGUUUAUAAAGACAAGGACUCCACAGCAGUUAAGUGUGCUCUGAGUAGCAGUUUGCCUUCAGAAAGAUGCCCACUAAGCUUUGGGUCCCAUGGAGCCUCUGAAAACAUUUCUCUAUUUUCAUUCCUCCGUGGGCUUUAUUCCAGGGCACAGCCUUAACGUAGAUGAGACAGGACAUCUUUUGAAAAGCAAAACUUUUAAGGUAGAGGCCAGAGGGUUGCUAGUCCCUGAGAGGAGAUGGACGAGCAGAAGGAAGGGCAGAGGAGCAGCCCCAGGAAGGGCUAUCUUUGUGACCAGGGGACAUUGCAGACAUGCCACCAAGAGGAAGGCAUCCUGGGAGUGGGACUGGAGAGAAAAGCCAUGAGAACUGGAUGAGAAAGGAUGCAUACAAAUAGUUAAAAUAUUCCUCAUUUCUAUUAUAUCCUGAAAAAAAAUGGUAGUGGCCAGAGCUGCCUGGAUUAGGGAAAAGGCUGUAAUUCCAUCUUGGGGUAUCUGGUGAACCAAGCUGUGGGUCUGUGGUUUAUGAUGUCACCAGAACCCCCAGCUGGACUUCUGCUUCACGAGAGCGCUGCAGGUCCAGAACUUCAAGAGGUCAGGGUAGUCGGCUGGAAAGCUCCCAGGUAAGUGGGACGAUUCAAGUUCUCGG
rnacentral:lncRNA from 1 species